rnacentral:rRNA from 1 species
AAUGCCGGAUGCUCCAGUUGAUCGCAUGGUCUUCUGGGAAAGCUUUCGCGGUAUGGGAUGGGGUCGCGUCCUAUCAGCUUGACGGCGGGGUAACGGCCCACCGUGGCUUCGACGGGUAGCCGGCCUGAGAGGGCGACCGGCCACAUUGGGACUGAGAUACGGCCCAGACUCCUACGGGAGGCAGCAGUGGGGAAUAUUGCACAAUGGGCGCAAGCCUGAUGCAGCGACGCCGCGUGAGGGAUGGAGGCCUUCGGGUUGUAAACCUCUUUUAUCGGGGAGCAAGCGAGAGUGAGUUUACCCGUUGAAUAAGCACCGGCUAACUACGUGCCAGCAGCCGCGGUAAUACGUAGGGUGCAAGCGUUAUCCGGAAUUAUUGGGCGUAAAGGGCUCGUAGGCGGUUCGUCGCGUCCGGUGUGAAAGUCCAUCGCUUAACGGUGGAUCCGCGCCGGGUACGGGCGGGCUUGAGUGCGGUAGGGGAGACUGGAAUUCCCGGUGUAACGGUGGAAUGUGUAGAUAUCGGGAA